rnacentral:tRNA from 1 species
GCCCGGGUGGCGAAAUCGGUAGACGCAAGGGACUUAAAAUCCCUCGGCCUUCUGGCCAUGCCGGUUCGAGUCCGGCCCCGGGCAUCA